GAGGCCAGCCUGGUCUACAGAGUGAGACCCUGUCUUAAAAAAGAAAAGGGUUGGGGUUUUGGAGCUGGAGAGGUAGCAGUCAAGAGUGUUAGCUGCUCAGUUCGCCGCAGUACAGAGUGGCUCACAACUGCCUGUAGGUCCAGCUUCAGGGGAUGCAAUGCUCCUCUGGCCUCUGCAGUUGCAGUUGUAUACACACAUGACAAACAAAUUUGAAAAAAGAAAGAAACUGGUUAAGAGAAUUAAAGGAAGAAUUCAUCAAUACCGAGUGAAAUAAAAACUUGUAGCAUAAGAAUUUGACAAACAGUCCCAGAUAAAGGUUAUUUUCAGAAGAAAUACCAUUCUACUGCUUUUAAAAACAGCAUACUAAGGUAACUCACAGCAGUGAAUUUGUAGGAAAAAAAUUGGAUUCCAUAUUUUUUUGUUUAUAUUUCAAGAUAAGGUUCAGCUCUGGCUGUCCUGAACUCCCUUUGUAGACGAGGAGGCUGGCCUCUAACUCACAGAGAUCCACCUGCCUCUGCCUCCUGAGUGCUAGGAUUAAAGGUGUGCACCACCACUACGUGGCUGGAUUCCAUAAUUCUUAUUGCUUGCAAUAAUAAUAACAACCUUGAAUUCUGAUCUUUAGCCUGCCCUUAUCUCCCAAAUCCUGAGACUACAAGCAUGCACCACCAUCACCUGGCUUGCAUUUUUAAACCUCAUUACAUUAAACAAUGAUUACGUCUAUUCUGUGUGUAUCAUGGAAACACCUAUGUGCCACCUUACACAGGUGGCGGUCAGAAGUCAGUUCUCUCCUACUCUGGGAAUCAAACUCCAGGGUCAAGCCUGGCAACAAGCACCUUCACUCACUGAAGAGGAGGCAGGGAGAGGCGCAGGUGUGGAGGUCAAAAGAUAACCUGUAGAUGUUGGCCCCAGGAAUCCAUCGUGGCAUCAGCCUGGGUGGCAAGUGCUGUGACCUACCCGGCCAACGUGAUAGCCUGGCGUGUGUUUUUCAAUGGUUAAUAAAAGUCUGAAGUAUUUUGUGAGGUGUUGAAAUAUGACGAGGUCGGAAGUUCCCGUGUCCUAACUUUAAUGGGUACGUAGCUCGUUUGUUGCUCGUGUGUUACUGUCCGUCACGUUUGUAUUGCAGCAUGCAGAGGUGCAUGGCUGCAGCAGAGACGACGCAGCCUGCAAAAGCCAACACUGACCAUCUAGUUGGAUAGAGAAAAGCUUGCUCAGCCCUGGACUGCACUAAAGCAAGUCUCAUUUUGUGAGAAAGGCUAAGCAUGGUGACACAUGUCUGUAAUCCCAGCGCUGACUGGGGAAGUGGAGGCAGGAGGAGCUGGAGAUCUGGAGCCACAUCCAACUCAAGGACAGCCUGAGCUCCGAGGCAGUGCGCUAAAGGCUCUGCUACAGCGGAAGGUCCCACUUCUAGGGAGCCUAGACAUGCUCGGAAAACAGUGGUCACCCGGGAAACUGUCUGCGGGCCUUUGCUGGUGGCCAAACUCAGCUUGCUGGAGAGGCAGGGACCGGUCAGAGCUUCCUCCAGAAGCAGGACCACAGCCCUCAGGACUGCAGGGGGUCGGGGAACAGUUCGCACUGUUGAAUAAAGCUGCCCCUUCACAUCA